UUAUAUUUAUUUAUAUAUCCAACCACCUCUUCAGUCCUUCCUUGUUGCCUUUGAAUUGCUGGAUAUUUAUAGGAAGGACUGGCUAUGUAUCCAGCAUCAAUUCUCUCACACACGCAGAUUAGUGGGCGUCUGCCUGGCAGCUGGUCCUUUAAGUUUAAGAAAGAACAAGACAUCAUACGUGUUGAUAAAUUCAAAAAAUAGAUUACAAAAUGAAAGGGAAACCAGUACAUGCAGAUUGUCUACUGCGCUGGCGGUGCUGGCAGCUAGAGACAGACACGUGGACGUUGAUGCGCGGCAGCCAGCCAGCCAGGAAUUUCCUGACAGUCAUUAUAAAAAUUUUCAAUUCCCUACGUACGAUCGAGAAAAUUGUGGCACCUAUCUAGCUAUCCAUCCAACUUUAUCCGGACUCCGAUGUCCCUGCCGUUUGGGAAAAAAUUUGCUUUUUUUUCCAUUAGAACCCAAACACCAUGUGUCAAAAAGGAAAAAGCAACACCAAAUAGCAAAAAGCAAAUAGCAAAAAUUUUACCCUUUUGCUCUUUUGCUGGUUGGAUCCAAACAUUAAGAGAAUAAG
rnacentral:lncRNA from 1 species